rnacentral:rRNA from 1 species
GGGACGAACGCUUGCGGCGUGCCUAAGAAAUGCAAGUCGAGCGGAAGUAGCAAUACUUUAGCGGCGAACGGUCGCGUAACACGUAGCCAACCUGCCCAGAAGACCGGGACAACACUCCGAAAGGGGUGCUAAUACCGGAUGUGCCCAUUUUGCCACAUGGCUUAAUGAGUAAAUCAUUUAUGGCUUCUGGAGGGGCUGCGGCCUAUCAGCUAGAUGGUGGGGUAAUGGCCUACCAUGGCGUCGACGGGUAGCUGGUCUGAGAGGAUGGUCAGCCGGACUGGGACUGAGAUACGGCCCAGACUCCUACGGGGGGCAGCAAUUAGGAAUCUUGCGCAAUGGGGGCAACCCUGACGCAGCGACGCCGCGUGGAGGAUGACGGCCUUCGGGUUGUAAACUCCUUUAUCGGGGAAGAAACAAAUGACGGUACCCGAUGAAUAAGCCCCGGCUAACUCCGUGCCAGCAGCCGC